AUGUCGAAGGAAUGUUGAGCCGGCUUUUUUUGUUAGUUUUUCUAUAUUUUACAUGCAUUUUCUAAGCACCUGCCAAAAAUCAACGAAAAAUAAUUGGUAGCAGAUAGUAUACUAGGUGUUAGACUUUUGGUACAUAAUUUUGGUUUUUCUGUUGUUUUUUUUCGUUAAGCUUGUUACGGGUGUGGAUAGGGGGGCCGACUAUACAAAAACAUAACAAAUCCCAAUAUCGUAUUAUUUUGAAUUUUAUUUUUAGAUUAAAAUAAAUAAUGAAUACUAACAGAGAUGUUGUUAGAUCUAUAACAGAUAAUCCUGCUGCACAUUAUGAAGCUUUUUUGAGAUAUCUUCAAUCUACCCAGCCUACCACAGCUAAGUUUGUAACCUACCACAGCAACAUCUUCAUCUGCAAUUAGUGCUCUAGUUCCAUCCUCAAUUGCAUUGAGUGUUCCAUCUACAUCUGGAAUAAUUGUUACAUCUUCAGCUGCUACAAGUGUCCCACAACCUCCACAACAAUCAACACAACCUUCUGCUGAGCUUACCUAUGGUGCCUAUAGAAGAUAUAGGGACCAGCACUCUGGACCGAUGAGUAAUCGAUCAUUUUUGCGGUGGGUCCGGUUAGGAGGGAAUGAUGGGUUGAUACUCCAACCUGCAUCUUGUAAUGUGGUAAGAUUAUUAAAGUUAUAUCUCGCUUUUUACACAAUUUAAAGACAUUUUUGAAAUUUUUAUUAACAUUUUUUUAAAGUUUAAAUAAAAAGAGGUGGGGGGGGGGGAUGUUGGGCGUGGCACACACCCCUCCCCUCACUAACAUGGUAAAAUAAUCUUAAAUACUAAUUUCUCUUUUUAAAUAAAAUCAGUUUAAAACCAUUUUUUAAAUAUCUUUUAAAAUUUUUUUUUAGGUUGGAGAAGACUAAGAGGAAGGGGGAGGGAGGGGCGUUAAGCUUGGCAUCGUUCCGCCCCUAAUGUCAAUUUAUGCACCACUUGUAUAUUCUGUUAAGUUAAAAAAUAUAAUUUAAAGUCUUUAACACAAAA